rnacentral:rRNA from 1 species
UACGGAGGGGGCUAGCGUUGUUCGGAAUUACUGGGCGUAAAGCGCACGUAGGCGGCUUUGUAAGUUAGAGGUGAAAGCCCGGGGCUCAACUCCGGAAUUGCCUUUAAGACUGCAUCGCUAGAAUUGUGGAGAGGUAAGUGGAAUUCCGAGUGUAGAGGUGAAAUUCGUAGAUAUUCGGAAGAACACCAGUGGCGAAGGCGACUUACUGGACACAUAUUGACGCUGAGGUGCGAAAGCGUGGGGAGCAAACAGGAUUAGAAAACCCC